GGUUCGCCGCCCGCGACUCUGCGAGAAGUCCAUUGAACCUUAUCAUUUAGAGGAAGGAGAAGUCGUAACAAGGUUUCCGUAGGUGAACCUGCGGAAGGAUCAUUGUCGAGACCAAAAGAGAUGGGAGAUUCAGAGAACUCAUGAACUAAGCGGUGACAGUCACUGUCACGAAACAAACAUUCAGUCAUCGCACGAUCUCCUUCGGGAGCCACGGCGAAGGCUGGAUGAAACCCGAGCUAGCGCAUUUUCGCGCCAAGGCAAUGUGCAAAACACGAGCCCCAACAGGUUUGGUGGCAUUGAUUAUAUGACUCUCGGCAACGGAUAUCUCGGCUCUCGCAUCGAUGAAGAGCGCAGCGAAAUGCGAUACGUGGUGCGAAUUGCAGAAUCCCGUGAACCAUCAAGUCUUUGAACGCAAGUUGCGCCCGAGGCCAAUCGGCUAAGGGCACGUCCGCCUGGGCGUCAAGCGUUGCAUCGCUUCGUGCCGCCACCACACACCAAUGUGCGUGGUCGUGCGGGCUCGAAUGCGAAGAGUGGUCCGCCGUGCUCAUCGGUGCGGCGGAUUGAAGAGCGGGUUGUCGUCCUCAUGGCCACGAUCGACAAGGGGUGGACGGAAGCCACGAGCACGGCCAAACAGUGUCUCACGCUGGCCUGAGGACGAUCAUACAUCCCCAGCGAACCCAAAUCCACACGCCGCGCAGCAAGCGGCGAUUUGGAAUGCGACCCCAGGAUGGGCGGGGCCACCCGCCGAGUUUAAGCAUAUCAAUAAGCGGAGGAGAAGAAACUUAAGAGGAUU
rnacentral:rRNA from 1 species